rnacentral:rRNA from 1 species
UACAGGGGGUGCAAACGUUGCUCGGAAUCAUUGGGCGUAAAGCGCACGUAGGCGGUUCGUUAUGUCGGAUGUGAAAGCCCUUGGCUUAACCGAGGAAGUGCAUCCGAAACUGGCAAGCUAGAGUGCGGUAGAGGAUGGUGGAAUUCCCGGUGUAGCGGUGAAAUGCGUAGAGAUCGGGAGGAACACCCGUGGCGAAGGCGGCCAUCUGGACCAGCACUGACGCUGAGGCACGAAAGCGUGGGGAGCAAACAGG